GUUUGAUCCUGGCUCAGAACGAACGUUAGCGGCGCGCUUAACACAUGCAAGUCGUGCGAGAAAGGGAGCAAUCCCCGGUAAAGCGGCGCACGGGUGAGUAACACGUAGGUAACGUGCCCCCAGGUGGUGGAUAACCUUCCGAAAGGAGGGCUAAUACAGCAUAAGACCACGACUCCGAAAGGGGUUGAGGUCAAAGUCGGCCUCUAUUCAUAAGCUGACGCCAGGGGAUCGGCCUGCGGCCCAUCGUAGUUGGUAGGGUAACGGCCUACCAAGCCAAAGACGGGUAGCUGGUCUGAGAGGAUGAUCAGCCACACUGGAACUGAGACACGGUCCAGACUCCUACGGGAGGCAGCAGUGGGGAAUCUUGCGCAAUGGGCGAAAGCCUGACGCAGCGACGCCGCGUGGGUGAUGAAGGCCU
rnacentral:rRNA from 1 species